AUUGAACGCUGGCGGCGGGCCUAACACAUGCAAGUCGAGCGGAGGAAGGGGGCUUUCUCCUGGAUUCAGCGUCGGACGGGGGAGAAAUGCCUAGGAAUCUGCCUGGUAGUGGGGGAUAACGUCUGGAAACGGGGGCUACUACCACAUACUACCUGAGGGAGAAAGAUGGGAAUCUUCGGAACGCACGCUCUCAGCUGAUCCUAGGUCGAAUUAGCUAGUUGGUGGGGUAAAGGCCGACCAAGGCGACGAUCCGUAACUGGUCUGAGAGGAUGAUCAGUCACACUGGAACUGAGCCACGCUCCAGCCUCCUACGGGAGGCAGCAGUGGGGAAUAUUGGACAAUGGGCGAAAUCCUAAUCAAGCCCGGCCGCGUGUGUGAAGAAGGUCUUCGGAUUGUAAAGCACUUUAAGUUGGGAGGACGGGCAGUAAGUUAAUACCUUGCUGUUUUGACGUUACCAAAAGAAUAAGCACCGGCUAACUUCGUG
rnacentral:rRNA from 1 species